rnacentral:rRNA from 1 species
AUGCCAAUGGCACUGCCCGGUAGCUAAAUGCGGAAGAGAUAAGUGCUGAAAGCAUCUAAGCACGAAACUUGCCCCGAGAUGAGUUCUCCCUGAGACUUUAAGUCUCCUGAAGGAACGUUGAAGACGACGACGUUGAUAGGCCGGGUGUGUAAGCGCAGCGAUGCGUUGAGCUAACCGGUACUAAUGAACCGUGAGGCUUAACCUU